rfam:TPA: Bos taurus chromosome 2, whole genome shotgun sequence.
UCCCUGGUGGCUUAAAUGGUAAAGCUUCUGCUUGCAAUGCAGGAGACCUGGGUUCGAUCCCUGGGUUGGGAA